rnacentral:rRNA from 1 species
AGCUAACUCUGGCGGCAGGCCUAACACAUGCAAGUCGAACGAACUCUUCGGAGUUAGUGGCGGACGGGUGAGUAACACGUGGGAACGUGCCUUUUGGUUCGGAAUAUCUCAGGGAAACUUGUGCUAAUACCGAAUGUGCCCUUCGGGGGAAGGAUUUAUCGCCAUUAGAGCGGCCCGCGUCUGAUUAGCUAGUUGGUGAGGUAACGGCUCACCAAGGCGACGAUCCGUAGCUGGUCUGAGAGGAUGACCAGCCACACUGGGACUGAGACACGGCCCAGACUCCUACGGGAGGCAGCAGUGGGGAAUCUUGCGCAACGGGGGAAAGCAUGACGCAGCCAUGCCGCGUGAAUGAUGAAGGUCUGAGGAUUGUAAAAUUCUUUCACCGGGGACGAUAAUGACGGUACCGGGAGAAGAAGCCCCGGCUAACUUCGUG